AGCAUAUCAAUAAGCGGAGGAAAAGAAACCAACAGGGAUUGCCCUAGUAACGGCGAGUGAAGCGGCAACAGCUCAAAUUUGAAAUCUGGCUUCGGCCCGAGUUGUAAUUUGCAGAGGAUGUUUCUGGCGCGGUGCCUUCCGAGUUCCCUGGAACGGGACGCCACAGAGGGUGAGAGCCCCGUAUGGUUGGACACCAAGCCUGUGUGAAACUCCUUCAACGAGUCGAGUAGUUUGGGAAUGCUGCUCUAAAUGGGAGGUAAAUCUCUUCUAAAGCUAAAUACCGGCCAGAGACCGAUAGCGCACAAGUAGAGUGAUCGAAAGAUGAAAAGCACCUUGAAAAGGGGGUUAAAUAGUACGUGAAAUUGUUGAAAGGGAAGCACUUAU
rnacentral:rRNA from 1 species